rnacentral:rRNA from 1 species
CCUACGGGAGGCAGCAGUGGGGAAUUUUGGACAAUGGGCGAAAGCCUGAUCCAGCCAUGCCGCGUGCGGGAAGAAGGCCUUCGGGUUGUAAACCGCUUUUGUCAGGGAAGAAACGGUCUGGGUUAAUACCCUGGGCUAAUGACGGUACCUGAAGAAUAAGCACCGGCUAACUACGUGCCAGCAGCCGCGGUAAUACGUAGGGUGCAAGCGUUAAUCGGAAUUACUGGGCGUAAAGCGUGCGCAGGCGGUCCUAUAAGACAGAUGUGAAAUCCCCGGGCUCAACCUGGGAACUGCAUUUGUGACUGUAGGGCUUGAGUACGGUAGAGGGGGAUGGAAUUCCGCGUGUAGCAGUGAAAUGCGUAGAUAUGCGGAGGAACACCGAUGGCGAAGGCAAUCCCCUGGACCUGUACUGACGCUCAUGCACGAAAGCGUGGGGAGCAAACAGGAUUAGAUACCCUGGUAGUCCACGCCCUAAACGAUGUACACUGGUUGUAGGAACGGUUCCUUUACAGUAACGAAGCUAACGCGUGAAGUUGACCGCCGUGGGGUAGGUACGGCCGGCGAGGUUAGGUAACGUACGUAAGUAGUAAGUUAGUUACGGUCGUUGAGACGUUGCCGACGGACGACGACGAGGGAGGAGG